AUGAUAACGGUUUCAUUUAAAAUGACCCAAUUCAAAAGUCUGUUGUUACUCCAUAAUGGCAUUUUCAGUAAUAGUAUUCUUAUUUCAUGUCAAGUUUUUA